ACACACCCUCGGAUUGACGUGCGCACGCGCACCGGUUACCUUCAGGAGCGCCGAAGAAGGAAAGAAGACUGCCAGCUCCGUGACAGCAAGAACCUUGUAUGACUUUUUCAUGAUGGAUGUUCAUCUGUGCCAUCUGUAAAUAUUGAAUAAAUAUUUGUGGAAUACAUGAAUCUAAAAGUGAAUGGAAUGAUAAAGAGGGAAAGGGUCAUGACAUCUACUACAGCAUUUGGCACAGACCCAGGUUUCCCUGGUACUGGUAAUUCCCAGCAGCUUUCUACAAUUCCAAAGCUGUCUGCAGUACUAUCAAGAGAUGACAUGGACUUCAAGGAUCAAACAGGGGAGAAAAAGGCUUAAAAGAAAAACAAGUCUCCAUCAAAGGUAAUAACCACAAUGAGAACUAUACAUAGCUAUGUGCUUAUAGGUCUUAGUUCACAUUCCCCUCAUUAAAAUUAUAGCUCAAGAAAUAAAGGGCUGUUUAAUGACUUGGGUAUAUAAAUAUACUUCAUUUGUAUAUUUUUUACUUGCUAAAAUCUAUCCAAAUUGGUAUUACCUCAAACCAUAAUCUUCUACUGUAUUUUAUAAUUUUACUUUAUUGCCAUGUAUUUUUCCCACUGAUGUUCACAAAUUCACAGGAAACAUCAGCCAUGUACUAAAUAAAAUAUGAAUUGAAUCGACAAAUAGAACUAUAAAUUUAAUUCAAGCACAUGUAAAAUUUAGACCAAAGAAUAAAAAUGUCUAUUAAAAAUACAGCCAAGCAUGGUGGCUCACACCUGUAAUCCCAGCACUUUGGGAGGCCGAGGUGGGUGAAUCAUCUGAGGUCAAGAGUUUGAGACCAGCUGGCCAUUGUGGUGAAACCCCAUCUCUACUAAAAUACAAAAAUUAGCUGGGUGUGAUGGUGGGCACCUGUAAUCCCACUACUUGGGAGGCUGAGGCAGGAGAAUCGCUUGAACCCAGGAGGCGGAGGUUGCAGUGAGCCGAGAUCCUGUCACUGCACUCUAGCCUGGGCGACAGAGAGACUGUUUCAAAAAAAAAAAAAAAAACAAAAAAACCCAAAAAAAACAAUAGAUUUAAAAUACUACAGUUUAGAAUCCUGUUGAGUUCCGCAUUAUUGGGAGCAAAAUCAAAUCAUGGACAUAAAUACGUUGAGAAAAGCAGGAGAGACACAUGACACAAAAUGAAAGUUUCCAUGCUAGAAAUGGACAUGGAUAUAUAGAAGAUGUGUGACAUCCACAAGUCAGAAUGGAAAAGAAAGCAAGACAUAGAAUUUAUAAGAAUAAAACUCACAUAGAGAUAAGAGAAAUGAGCUUUCAUGGUAUCUGAUGUAGGCUUUUGGGAAAUUGCCACCAAAUAUUUUUAAAAUUAGGACACAUUUUCCCAACCAUAAGCAUAAAUGAGUUAGCCUUGAUAUUUGCUUCAUGAAUUGGGUAAAAUUAAGCUGAGGGCCAGAUGUUUUCCAUCUGUGUUUUAGAUUAUGCUAAACAUAAAAUGAUUAGAAAGCACCCAUAUAUGACUGGUUUAACUCUACAUGAAAAAAUCAGAUGACAUUUAGACACUGCCUUAGACUUUAGAAAAUUUUAGUGUAUUUUGAUGUCAGAAUUUUGACAAGUAAUGAAAAUAUUAGAUGAAUAGUUUUACUGUAAAACAAACUUCCAUUUCAUAAUAGGCAUAAUGAAUCUUCAUAAUGCUGAAACAACUUUUUGAAAAGUGAAAGCUGUAGAUUUUCCAAGUGGUAUCAAACUAAGAGUUGGGUUUAUUUACCCUGAAUUACAUUUUGGUAUGAGGUAGACAACCAAAAUGUAUUAGUUAAUGUGGUUUAUUAUGUGUUGUGCAGAUACUACUAUAGUUCAUAUGCAUAGGCUGAUUUAUGAAUUAAGUCUCAAAUAUCCAAUAGAGGAUUAUACUUUAGAUAAUUGCUAAAGACACGGAAAGAAAAGUGCAUAAAGUCUAGAAAGGGAAGUCAUCAAAAUGUCAGCAUGAAACUAUAUCAAUCAUCAUGUACAAAUCUUCAAUUGGUAAUAAGCUGUAAUAGUAAAACAAUUGCGAAACUAUCAAUCCGUAGCUGUUUGAUUACAUCUUUGUUGAACAAAUAUCACUUGUUAAUUAUAGUCAGGAACAUUAAGUUAUUGUAUAAUGUCCAUAAAUUAAUCUGAAACAUUGCUGUCUCUGGCAACAUAGUAGAUUCUUUAAAAAUAAUCAAGGAAGGAGCAACUGACAUCAAGAUCUUUAUACAAAAAUGUGUUGAGUCUGAACAUGAGAGAAAAAUAUACUGUCUAUAUUAAAUAAAUCACAUGCCACACUAAUCAGGUUACCAUUAUAGUGGCCCAAUAAUGAAACAUGUUCUUUUGUCGUAUUAAUCUAAACAUAUAUCUCAUUACUAACAUACAUCUAUCUAGAUAUUUUCCUUAUUUUUUCCUACUCUAUUGAACUAUGUUGGUGCAUGACAUUUCAAAACUGCCCUGGGUCUCAUACUCCUUUAAAGUUCUCUCUAUCAUGCAAACCAGAAGGUCAUGAUAUUUAAUAGAAAAUUAAUAUUGCUUGUUUUGAGUGGCCCUCAAUUUGCGACAUUAGCAAACUAUAAUUACACUUACUAUAACACAAAGCUUAAAGUUUGAAUCUGAUUCUAUAACACAGACUAUUUCCCAGUGAGAAUGGGCAACUUACCUUGACUAGUCAUUAUUUAAUGUGAUGAGCUAAUGCAAGUAAAAGUGGCUUGCAAUUUUAGAGCCCUAAACAACUUACUAGAUGUUUACAUGAAUUUGAAGUCAUAGCUACAGCUAUAACAUUCUGUGAAACAGUCAUAGCAGAAAUGAAAUAAAUAGAAAACACUGAAGAUGUUGCUUUCAACUAAUACUUAAAACCCCACAAUAUUAGAAUAAAAAAUAGUACAGCUUGGGGUAAAAAAACUGACUUUUCUACAAAUGUCAUUGUUUCAAAUAGGUUUCUGCAAGAGGCAUGCUUGGCAAGAUUAAUUUUUUAAUUGGCAUGUCUUGUUUGAUUAAAGUAAAAUAAUUUAAAAGAAUAUACAAUAUACGGCCGGGCACGGUGGCUCACGCCUGUAAUCCCAGCACUUUGGGAGGCCAAGGUGGGCGGAUCAUGAGGUCAAGAGAUUGAGACCAUCCUGGCCAACAUGGUAAAACUCUGUCUCUACUAAAAAUACAAAAAUUAGCCAGGCAUGGUGGCACGCACCUGUAGUCCCAGCUACUCAGGAGGCUGAGGCAGGAAAACUGCUUGAACCCGGGAGGCAGAGGUUGCAGUGAGCCGAGAUGGUGCCACUGCACUGCAGCCUGGCGACAGAGUGAGACUCCGUCUAAAAAAAAAAACAAAAAAACAAAAAAAAAAACAAAAAUAUAGUCAUAAGAUUUAAACACUAGUUGAAACUAGAAAAUAACAUGGAGAUUACAGUUGUAUUUUCUUUAACGUAAUUUACUUUCAUUCAUUACCAGAACUAUUUAAAACUAGUGAUCAGUUAAGAGUAUAUUUGCACAAUUUUUUCUUGAGAAAAGCAGAUAACUACAGUGUUAAUAAAUUCAGAAACACAUGCUUCUAAAUUAACUAAUUUACUGAUAUUUCAAUUUCUCCAUGUUUCCAAGUUCUUGCUCAAAAUGGUUCAAAAACUGUUAAAAUUAAAAUAAUAUCACGAAUUUUAGUAUUUUAAAAGAAUACUGUACAUUACAUUUGCAUGCUAAUAAAACAGUUGCUUUAAAAUCUACAAUGCCUACUGACAUUUGAGGCAAUCAUUAACAUAUUUUCUUCAAUAAGUUUUUUAAACUUAAUUGAAUUGUUUGCUGGGAUCUUUAAGUGAAACCUUGAAUAAAGUUGGUGGAUUAAACUUACUUUUUUAAUGCUGCCUACUUCUUUAAUGUUGUCAGAUUUGCAGUGGUACAAUCCUAUCAGAUUUGCAGUGGUACAAUGAGCAAGCCUUUCAGCUGUACCACGUUAAAGACCAUACUUUUUCAAUUUGCAGGUGCAAUUAAGUAAAACCAUAACAAAGUUAUUUUGUCAUAAGACUUUGUUCUACUUUAAAAAAUUAUAUACAUUUAUUUUGUUUUUCUCUAAUAACCACAGUUAUCUAUCUCCAAUAUCUCAUUUCCUUAGAUAUUAAAUUCCAUAUAUUUAACAACCAAAAAAUUAUAAGAAAACUUUAUCUUCAACACCUCUUCUGUUUGGAUACUAAAUAAAUGAUUGGCUCUGUCAAUAAUAGCUAGUAGACUCAUUUUUAAAUGGCCAUUUUUCUUUCUCUACCAAGGUCAUUCUUUCAGAUGAAAGAAUCAUUUCAAAUUUUGAGUCCAAAGCCUUUGAAAAUUUUCACUCUCUAACAAGGAUUCCUCUUUCUCACCACUUUCCAAAAAUCCUUUUCUGAAUCUAUAGUUGAUCCCAGGGCAUGGUUCAGAUGGGAGUUUCUGUAACUUUUUAGAGAAAGGUGAGAGUUUCUAUAACUUUUCACAUUGCUUUAGACAUCAAAAUGUGUAGUCUUGAUCUAAUGACUUAGAUCUAAUGAUUUUGAUUAAGAUUACAUAUUUAAGUGUAUAUUAAUAUUACUGCCUAGCAACUUUAUCACUAUUGCUUGCAAACUGCCACACCCUUGAAAAUGUAACCCAAACUCCUCUUCCCAGGUGAAGAACCAUGAAGACUCACAUUCUAAUUAGUCAUUAAAUAGUUCCAAUAUCUCUUAUUCUAAGGUAUAUUGCCACUAUGAAUCUAAUAUUCAUUUACUACCUUGUCCCAAGUUACAGAAUAAAAAUGCCAUUUCUUAGGAGUAUAAAAGUAAUUUUCAUCUGAAUUAUGUUGAUAUUUGUGUUUUACUUCGUAUAAGAAUUCAAGAACAACCCUCAAAGCUUUUAAGAACUGAUCCUUCAGUUUGACUUCAAACAAAAGGCAAAGUAAAAGCAGUUUGUGAACUGUGAAAUCCUAUCAAUUUGUACACACUUCAACUAUCAUGAAAAGAUUAUUCGGCUCUAUUAAAAUUUGGCAUUAAUGAUGCUAGCUUAACAUGUUAAUAAAAUUUAGAACAUUUUCUGUUCUUUGCUAAUCUUAAAUCAAGAUUUAACUGCUGAUAAAAGUUUCAGUUACAGGUUUAAAAACUCAAAUAUUAGAAAAUAUCAAGGAGUUAGACACUUGAUAAAACAUUUGUAAACUUCAAAACUUCAACUUUUAGAGAAAGGCGAGGCACCUAGACAAAAAAUACCCUAUUUCCACAUUUCCAAACCAUGAGUAUUCCUGGCUCUUCCCUGAGAAAAUCUUAGACUACUUCAAUGAUUAAAAACAUAAUAAAAUUCAGAUACAAAAUGGAACUAAACGUCCUGGCCUAGCCAGAAAUUCCUGGGUGGUUACUGUGAAAUAAGACUUGUUAAGAUUUCCAUCGCAAGAUUAAAAAGAAAACAAGCAAAACAACGCUGGCUAUCGUGACGGGACUGAAAUACAGGAGUGGCGUCUGGGAAACUAUCUUCUUGGUUCUUUCCCAGGCAAAGACCAACCUGAACAAGGGUCCCGUUUCUCUGUACCUCUCCACAAAGUCUCACCUGUGAACAGAUCCUGGCGCCUCUAAUACCUCUCUUAACACCAGCAUAGUUGUGACCUGUCCCGAGAGUACCAACAAAUAGAAAGCCACAGGGAAUUCGUCAGGUAAAAACAAACUUGGAAGACAAACAGUCUCGGGUGAAUCCUAAGGCCGCAUGAGAAACUCAAAUUGUGAUUGGAAAAUCUUGCCCUACCUCUUUACCACAAAACGGAAUUGCCUGCCUUUGUCCAUUCCUGAACCCAACACAUUUGCCCAGAUCCUUCCAAACCAAAGAAGCCUCCGACACAGGCAGACUAUAGGAACCAUCAAAUUCCCGGGGAAACCCGACCGCUUAGUACAGCCACCCAGAAGAAGAAAAGAUCAAAUGAGACCGGCUCAACGGGGUCUUCCUGUAGUGACCCCUGAGUUAAAGUAUUUAUUUUCACGCUGCAACUGCUGAUCACUUUACAGAGACAUAUCAUGCUGUAGCUCUGCAUGGAGCUGAAGACAAAAGCAACAUUUUUAUUAAUGUUAUAAUUAUUAUAAUUAUCUUUAACAAAGCUAUUAAAUAACCUGUACAAAGCCCAAACCGGUCCUAGCGAAAACCCGAGCACUGUUUCAAAUCUCCCAAGUUCCUUUCUAUUCAGUUCAGCAGCAUUUCCUAUAUACAAGGCCAGACCAGGGUGGUCCCCCGAAACUGUAGGUCUCCCUGACGGUGGGAACGGUUUAGAGUUUGGAACCGCCCUGGCGUACGGCAGAGCUCCCAAUUACAAUCCAAAUGCCCCAGCCCCAACCCUACCUCCCCGCUCCUGGGAACUGGGUCCCUAUGUCCGAAGGCAGCGGAAGUUGGAAGCCUGGCUCCAUUUUGGGAGGCAGGCAACGGAGAGGGUCCGUCUGCUGAGUCUCCCCUCCGCCAGCUGCCCACAGGUCCCCGGAUCUCUCGCAGAGGUGCUGGGAAGGGGGUCCACCUCCGGGAGGGCUCACAGGUCCCGCGCGUCCUCCCGCUUAACCCCGGCCUCAGCGACUUUGAGCUUCUUAUUCUGGUGAGUCUUGACGUGCUUCGCGAGGUGGUCGCUGCGCAUGAAGCGCUUGCCGCACUCGGGACAGGCAAAGCGCUUCUCGCCCGUGUGAGUCCGCAGGUGCCGCUGCAGCUCGUCCGAGCGCGUGAAGCUCUUCCCGCAGAAGAGCCAGUUGCACACGAAGGGUCGCUCGCCCGUGUGCCAGCGCAGGUGCGCCUUCAGGUGCGACGUCUUCCCGUACACCUUGCCGCAGCCCGGCACGUGGCACACGUGCUGCUUCUUCUUCCCCGGCUCCGCCUCGGGGGCGCCGCCCGCCGCCUGGCAGUUGGGACAGCGGCAGCGGCGGCACCUCC
rnacentral:lncRNA from 1 species